GACACGGCCCAGACUCCUACGGGAGGCAGCAGUGGGGAAUUUUGGACAAUGGGCGAAAGCCUGAUCCAGCAAUGCCGCGUGUGUGAUGAAGGCCUUCGGGUUGUAAAGCACUUUUGGCGGGAACGAAAAGGGCUGUGCUAAUACCACGGUUCGAUGACGGUACCCGCAGAAUAAGCACCGGCUAACUACGUGCCAGCAGCCGCGGUAAUACGUAGGGUGCAAGCGUUAAUCGGAAUUACUGGGCGUAAAGAGUGCGCAGGCGGUUUUGCAAGACCGAUGUGAAAUCCCCGGGCUUAACCUGGGAACUGCAUUGGUGACUGCAAGGCUAGAGUGUGUCAGAGGGAGGUGGAAUUCCGCAUGUAGCAGUGAAAUGCGUAGAUAUGCGGAGGAACACCGAUGGCGAAGGCAGCCUCCUGGGAUAACACUGACGCUCAUGCACGAAAGCGUGGGGAGCAAACAGGAUUAGAUACCCUGGUAGUCCACGCCCUAAACGAUGUCUACUAGUUGUCGGGGAUUAAUUUCCUUGGUAACGCAGCUAACGCGUGAAGUAGACCGCCUGGGGAGUACGGUCGCAAGAUUAAAACUCAAAGGAAUUGACGGGGACCCGCACAAGCGGUGGAUGAUGUGGAUUAAUUCGAUGCAACGCGAAGAACCUUACCUGGUCUUGACAUGUACGGAACCUUCCGGAGACGGAAGGGUGCCUUCGGGAGCCGUAACACAGGUGCUGCAUGGCUGUCGUCAGCUCGUGUCGU
rnacentral:rRNA from 1 species